CCUUCCCAUUUUUUUUUUUUGAGAGGUAUUUAUGGGGUGAUUUGAGGGGGACGUGCGUACGAUUUGAGGGUGGUUGGGAAAAACGUGCGUAUGGGUGAGGAGGUUACGGGAUCGUGGGAUGGGGUCGUGGGAUGUGGGUGGUUGUAACCGAUUUGAGGGAAACGUGCGAUGAGAAUCCAGGAUUGUGGGAGAGAUUUUGUAUGGUCACGAUGGGAUUGUGAAAUAAUGGAUGGUUAUGAUGGAAUCGUGGAGAUAUUGGGUGGUUACGAUGGGAUUGUGGGAAUAUUGCGGAUUAGUCCUUUCCCUUUGCUCAUAUUACACCUUAGUGAAUACAAUAAAAUAUUAUAUGAUUAAAGCGGAGCAUUUUGUAAAUACAUGAAAGGGAAAGGGCUAAUAUGCUAUUUUUAAUACCCGUUCGUAUCUACGAGAACGUCCCACUUUUCGUAAUUUAUGCUCCCGGUGCAUGAGAUAUUUUCAAAAUUUAAAUUUUAUCCAUGCACCUGGUGCAUGGAUAAUCUCAUAAACCAUCUCUAUUUUUUAUUUCUUUCUCUCCCCCUUUUUUUUCUUUUUCUUUUUCCUCUUUUAUUCCUCUCUCUUUUUUUUUUUAUGCUUCAACAAGGUCGAGUCCGUGGAGUCGGUAAUCACCUCGUAAUCUUUACUCUUAGUGAAUUAUUUUUUUUUUUUUCGCGUGUUGGUCCCGUGGGUUUUUCUUCAAGUUGGAGUUUUCCCACGUAAAUCUCGGUGUGAUUUUUAUUUUCCGCAUUUAUUUUUAUCGCAUUGAAAUUUGUAGUUUUUGGCUAUUACACCUAUUUACCCCCCUCUUGGUGUUAGAUACAAUCUAAAUAGAUCCUUGGGCUACCCCAAAACUUACAAUAAGAACUACUACGUCUUAAUAAGGAAAUACAAAAUUGGGAACCACUAU
rnacentral:lncRNA from 1 species